UUGGAAACAUUCGAAAAAUGGCGGAGGGAAAUAGUACGGAUAGUUCAGAGGAGAAACAUCUCGAGGUUAUAAAAGUGUACGACCUAAGUCGUCAAAAGUGUCCGAACACUUUACUUUAAAGACUUCAAAGACGACAUUUCCUGCAAAACGAGCAGCAUGGACCUCGCGUACGUGGCACGAAAGGCAACAUUGCUUCGGCAGCACCUGAAGAGGGGCCAUGGAUUAAGAGAACUCACGAAAGAAACAAGCCAGCAUUAGCAACUUCGUACAAAGGAAAGUGUGCACACCACAGCAAGCGACUGCAUUGACUGAUGCUAUCCUGAAUAUGUUGCUAACUGACAUGAGGCGACUAUCAAUGGUGGAGGAUGACGGUUUCAGAAAAAUGAUUUACGUCAACCCUGUUAACACUCUUCCCUUGAGGACCCAUUUUACGAAACUGAUGGAGAGGAAGUAUGAGGAGACAUUUCAAGCUGUGUAAACUGACAUUAAAGCCACCCAGAGCAAAAUUGUUCUGACCACUGAUGUGUGGACAAGUGUAGCCACGGAAGCCUACCUCGGCAAUACAUGCCACUAUAUUGGAGAGGAAUGGAACAUGAAGUCAAUCUGCCUUAUGACCAUGCCACUAGAGGAAAGACAUUCAGCAUCCAACAUUGCAGAAUGGUUAGAAUAGGUAGUAGGCAGGUUUGAAAUUCCCCUAAGCAAAAUUAUUGCUAUUGUACAUGACAAUGGUGCACUUUAUAAAAAAAACAAAAAAUAUUUUUCUAACACUUGCCUUGUUAUUGUUAUGUUUGGCAAGUCGAAAGGACAUAGUGCCAGUAUGCGUUUUUCUUUAAAUAAAGUAUUGGAAAGGAUAGAAA